UGAUCCUGUAACUAGGGGCAGUGAUCCUGUAACUAGGGUUAGGGGUAGUAAUCCUGUAACUAGGGGUAGUGAUCCUGUAACUAGGGGCAGUGAUCCUGUAACUAGGGUUAGGGGUAGUAAUCCUGUAACUAGGGGUAGUAAUCCUGUAACUAGGGGCAGUGAUCCUGUAACUAGGGGCAGUGAUCCUGUAACUAGGGGCAGUGAUCCUGUAACUAGGGUUAGGGGUAGUAAUCCUGUAACUAGGGGUAGUGAUCCUGUAACUAGGGGCAGUGAUCCUGUAACUAGGGUUAGGGGUAGUAAUCCUGUAACUAGGGGUAGUGAUCCUGUAACUAGGGGCAGUAAUCCUGUAACUAGGGGCAGUGAUCCUGUAACUAGGGGCAGUGAUCCUGUAACUAGGGGCAGUGAUCCUGUAACUAGGGUUAGGGGUAGUAAUCCUGUAACUAGGGGCAGUGAUCCUGUAACUAGGGUUAGGGGUAGUAAUCCUGUAACUAGGGGUAGUAAUCCUGUAACUAGGGCAGUGAUCCUGUAACUAGGGGCAGUGAUCCUGUAACUAGGCAAACAUUAACAAGUAACAGCGUUAGUGUCUGCAGGUAAGUCACCUUCUACGGUGUGCUGAAGCUCCAACACCUGGUUGAUGAGCCUCAUCUCCUCCUCCAGCUCAGCCUGGUUCUCCAGCUCACCUGCAGGAAUGCAGGGCUGUCACUGACAGGGACUCUGAAAUACACAUAACAUGAACAUACAUAUGUACCAACAUGUUUGAGGUCUACCAGGUUAAAUACAUGUAACAUGAACAUACGUGACAUAUAUACAUAUGUGUCUGCUGUAGAAGGUCUGCCUGGUUCAAAAUGACUUACACAGCUUCUCUGACAUUAGUUGAAUCAUUAGAUGAAAUCGUUGAGCAUUUUUUGAGAUAGAAGACAAACGACUUCUCUCUAAUUAAGCUGUUUAUUCUCUAAUAUCAGUGUCUCUGAAGAAUCUUGAUGAAGGACCUUUUCUGUCUGGAACAGCCUCCCAGAAUAGGAUAAAGUCUGAUAUGAACAGGACGUUUUAUACAGUAUGGUGAAAUGUGAUUGGUUAUAGACCACAAACAUAUAAUUCAAAUAUUUAACUGUGAUUGGCUAAAGGUGGGGAUAAACCGUGGUUUAGACUCAGCUCUCCCAUUGGUUGGUGCUCAGAUAUGUCCAUAUCUCUUGGUACACGAUUCAUCCAAUCAGCAGGAGCCGCACCAUGUAGAAGAACCGUCCUUUCCAUCACUUCCCUCUCUCUACCUGUUAGUCUUAUUCCUCUGUUAGCUGACAUGUGAUGCAGCUGCUGGUGGUGUCUCAUAGGGAGGAUUAUUAUGGUUUCCUCCCUCAAACAACCUUGAGUUUAGCAGUUUCAGUGCAAUUAGUUGUUACAUUGUAAGGAAAUAGGAAUGUGCUGCGUAUCAAAGCCAGAACUCUAUCUUUGUUAGUGCGAAUGUGUAGAAGAAGCUGUAACUUUCCAUCCUGACCUGUCUGCAUCCAUCAGAGCUUGGAGUUAGUGCUUAGCUCCAUCUCUUCCCUUUAACCCUCCUGUCGUCCUGCGGGUCCAAGUGACCCGUUUUAGUUUGAAAAUGUGGGAAAAUAAUACAUAUUUUCAAAGUGAAAACUUCAACAUUUUCAACAUUUUUGGGAAAUUUUUGAACAUUUAUUGGUGGAAAAAAAAGAAAUGUGAAAAAAUUGUUUCUUUAAGAACAUUCACAUCGCUGGAUUUUGGCUGAUUUUUUUUUCAGAAUGUUCUUAAAGAAAAUAUUAGAAGUUUUACUGAUAAAUAUGGAAUCACUUUAGAUAUUUUUAGGAUUUUUUUUGGAAGAUUUUUAUUCAUUUUAAAAAAUAUUUACUUUUUUUUCCUUGCCAAAUUUAGGGAUUUAAAAAAAAAAAACUUUUGAGGGAAACUUUGAAGGAAUUUUCUUCCUGAAGAUUUUGCAAUUGUUUUUAUAAAUUUGGGGGAUUUUUUUUGCUGAAUUUUUGGAUUUUUUUCAGUCAGGGGAACAAUAUUUUUGGUGCCCGUAAACGAAGACAACAGGAGGGUUAAAGGUCACGCACAACUGAUGCAUUCAUUGCACACUAAACAGUUGUUAUUAUCAAUAUUAUAACACUCAUAUGUAAUAUCAAUUUCAGUGUUCAGCUAGUAGUAAAAUAAAUCCUAAC
ensembl:lncRNA